CUGUUUGAUCCUGGCUCAGGACGAACGCUGGCGGCGUGCUUAACACAUGCAAGUCGAACGGAAAGGCCCUGCUUUUGUGGGGUGCUCGAGUGGCGAACGGGUGAGUAACACGUGAGUAACCUGCCCUUGACUUUGGGAUAACUUCAGGAAACUGGGGCUAAUACCGGAUAGGAGCUCCUGCUGCAUGGUGGGGGUUGGAAAGUUUCGGCGGUUGGGGAUGGACUCGCGGCUUAUCAGCUUGUUGGUGGGGUAGUGGCUUACCAAGGCUUUGACGGGUAGCCGGCCUGAGAGGGUGACCGGCCACAUUGGGACUGAGAUACGGCCCAGACUCCUACGGGAGGCAGCAGUGGGGAAUAUUGCACAAUGGGCGGAAGCCUGAUGCAGCAACGCCGCGUGCGGGAUGACGGCCUUCGGGUUGUAAACCGCUUUCGCCUGUGACGAAGCGUGAGUGACGGUAAUGGGUAAAGAAGCACCGGCUAACUACGUGCCAGCAGCCGCGGUGAUACGUAGGGUGCGAGCGUUGUCCGGAUUUAUUGGGCGUAAAGGGCUCGUAGGUGGUUGAUCGCGUCGGAAGUGUAAUCUUGGGGCUUAACCCUGAGCGUGCUUUCGAUACGGGUUGACUUGAGGAAGGUAGGGGAGAAUGGAAUUCCUGGUGGAGCGGUGGAAUGCGCAGAUAUCAGGAGGAACACCAGUGGCGAAGGCGGUUCUCUGGGCCUUUCCUGACGCUGAGGAGCGAAAGCGUGGGGAGCGAACAGGCUUAGAUACCCUGGUAGUCCACGCUGUAAACGGUGGGUACUAGGUGUGGGGUCCAUUCCACGGGUUCCGUGCCGUAGCUAACGCUUUAAGUACCCCGCCUGGGGAGUACGGCCGCAAGGCUAAAACUCAAAGGAAUUGACGGGGCCCCGCACAAGCGGCGGAGCAUGCGGAUUAAUUCGAUGCAACGCGUAGAACCUUACCUGGGUUUGACAUGGAUCGGGAGUGCUCAGAGAUGGGUGUGCCUCUUUUGGGGUCGGUUCACAGGUGGUGCAUGGCUGUCGUCAGCUCGUGUCGUGAGAUGUUGGGUUAAGUCCCGCAACGAGCGCAACCCUUGUUUCUAGUUAGUAUUCUAGAAAGACUGCCGAUUAUAAAUCGGAGGAAGGUGAGGAUGACGUCAAGUCAUCAUGCCCCUUACGUCCUGGGCUACACACGUGCUACAAUGGAUACGACAAAAAGUUGCCAAUCUGCGAAGAUGAGCUAAUCUCUAAACGUAUCCCUAGUUCAGAUUGUAGGCUGCAACUCGCCUACAUGAAGGUGGAAUCGCUAGUAAUCGCAGGUCAGCUAUACUGCGGUGAAUCCGUUCCCGGGCCUUGUACACACCGCCCGUCACACCAUGGGAGCUGGUUAUACCCGAAGCUAUUAUCCUAACCUUUGGAGGGAGGUAUCGAAGGUAGAAUUGGUGACUGGGGUGAAGUCGGAACAAGGUAGCCG
rnacentral:rRNA from 1 species